AUACGUGUGCAGGGAGGGGGAUGCACUGGGUCGGGUCAAUGAUGAGAACCUUAUAUUGUUCUGAAGAGAGGUGAUGACUUAAAAAUCAUGCUCAAUAGGAUUACGCUGAGGCCCAGCCUAGGUGAGAAUUUUGGAAGAGGAUGCUGGGAUCCCAAGUUCCCCAGCAUGGCCAGUAUAUUUUAGGCAGGAGACCCUGAGGCUCUGAACGGCAUCUCCGGGGGGCACAACCCUGGCUCUGGGCUCCUCUGGGAGGCAGCCCAGGUUCCCUGUGCAGGCUUGGG
rnacentral:lncRNA from 1 species